rnacentral:rRNA from 1 species
GACAGAGGGGGCAAGCGUUGCUCGGAAUCACUGGGCGUAAAGGGCGCGUAGGCGGGAUGGCAAGUCAGUCGUGAAAUCUCUCGGCUCAACCGAGAAACGUCGGCUGAUACUGCCGUUCUUGAGGGAUGCAGAGGAGACUGGAAUUCCCGGUGUAGCGGUGAAAUGCGCAGAUAUCAGGAGGAACACCGGUGGCGAAGGCGGGUCUCUGGGCCGAUACUGACGCUGAGGAGCGAAAGCAUGGGGAGCGAACAGG